GAUGAACGCUGGCGGCGUGCCUAAUACAUGCAAGUCGAGCGAAUGGAUUGAGAGCUUGCUCUUAUGAAGUUAGCGGCGGACGGGUGAGUAACACGUGGGUAACCUGCCCAUAAGACUGGGAUAACUCCGGGAAACCGGGGCUAAUACCGGAUAACAUUUUGAACCGCAUGGUUCGAAAUUGAAAGGCGGCUUCGGCUGUCCCUUAUGGAUGGACCCGCGUCGCAUUAGCUAGUUGGUGAGGUAACGGCUCACCAAGGCAACGAUGCGUAUCCGACCUGAGAGGGUGAUCGGCCACACUGGGACUGAGACACGGCCCAGACUCCUACGGGAGGCAGCAGUAGGGAAUCUUCCGCAAUGGACGAAAGUCUGACGGAGCAACGCCGCGUGAGUGAUGAAGGCUUUCGGGUCGUAAAACUCUGUUGUUAGGGAAGAACAAGUGCUAGUUGAAUAAGCUGGCACCUUGACGGUACCUAACCAGAAAGCCACGGCUAACUACGUGCCAGCCGCCGCUGUAA
rnacentral:rRNA from 1 species